rnacentral:rRNA from 1 species
GCCUAUACUGCAAGUCGAGCGAGCUGAAUUCAAAGAUCCCUUCGGGGUGACUUGUUGGAUGCCAUCGGCGGAUGGGUGAGUAACACGUGGGCAAUCUGCCCUAAAGACUGGGAUACCACUUGGAAACAGGUGCUAAUACCGGAUAACAACAUGAAUCGCAUGAUUCAAGUUUGAAAGGCGGCGCAAGCUGUCACUUUAGGAUGAGUCCGCGGCGCAUUAGCUAGUUGGUGGGGUAAAGGCCUACCAAGGCAAUGAUGCGUAGCCGAGUUGAGAGACUGAUCGGCCACAUUGGGACUGAGACACGGCCCAAACUCCUACGGGAGGCAGCAGUAGGGAAUCUUCCACAAUGGACGCAAGUCUGAUGGAGCAACGCCGCGUGAGUGAAGAAGGUUUUCGGAUCGUAAAGCUCUGUUGUUGGUGAAGAAGGAUAGAGGUAGUAACUGGCCUUUAUUUGACGGUAAUCAACCAGAAAGUCACGGCUAACUAUGUGCCAGCAGCCGCGGUAAUACGUAGGUGGCAAGCGUUGUCCGGAUUUAUUGGGCGUAAAGCGAGCGCAGGCUGAAAAAUUAAGUCUAAUGUGAAAGCCCUCGGUUUAACCGAAGAAACUGCAUUAGAAAACUGUUUUUCUCUGAGUGAAAAAGAAGAAAAGUGGAACUUCCAUGUUGAGACGGAGGGAAAUGCGUUACAUUUUUGGGAAAAAACCCCCAGUGGCGGAAAGGGCGGGUCUCUUGGGUCUGACAAACUGAACCCCUUAGAGCUCAAAAAACAAAUGGGUAAACCCAAAACGGAUUUUAAAUACCCCUGGGGAGGACCCC